CUAUACUAAGUUUAAAACAUUGAUUUGUGGUAUCAAAAAUAAACUA
rnacentral:tRNA from 1 species